rnacentral:rRNA from 1 species
UCGAAAAUGUUGUCUCUCUUGAGUGGAUCCUGAGUACGACGGAGCACGUGAAAUUCCGUCGGAAUCUGGGAGGACCAUCUCCUAAGGCUAAAUACUCUCUAGUGACCGAUAGUGAACCAGUACCGUGAGGGAAAGGUGAAAAGCACCCCGGAAGGGGAGUGAAAUAGAACCUGAAACCGUGUGCUUACAAGUAGUCAGAGCCCGUUAAUGGGUGAUGGCGUGCCUUUUGUAGAAUGAACCGGCGAGUUACGAUUUGAUGCAAGGUUAAGCAGUAAAUGUGGAGCCGUAGCGAAAGCGAGUCUGAAUAGGGCGUUUAGUAUUUGGUCGUAGACCCGAAACCAGGUGAUCUACCCUUGGUCAGGUUGAAGUUCAGGUAACACUGAAUGGAGGACCGAACCGACUUACGUUGAAAAGUGAGCGGAUGAACUGAGGGUAGCGGAGAAAUUCCAAUCGAACCUGGAGAUAGCUGGUUCUCUCCGAAAUAGCUUUAGGGCUAGCCUCAAGUGAUGAUUAUUGGAGGUAGAGCACUGUUUGGACGAGGGGCCCCUCUCGGGUUACCGAAUUCAGACAAACUCCGAAUGCCAAUUAAUUUAACUUGGGAGUCAGAACAUGGGUGAUAAGGUCCGUGUUCGAAAGGGAAACAGCCCAGACCACCAGCUAAGGUCCCAAAAUAUAUGUUAAGUGGAAAAGGAUGUGGCGUUGCCCAGACAACUAGGAUGUUGGCUUAGAAGCAGCCAUCAUUUAAAGAGUGCGUAAUAGCUCACUAGUCGAGUGACACUGCGCCGAAAAUGUACCGGGGCUAAACAUAUUACCGAAGCUGUGGAUUGUCCUUUGGACAAUGGUAGGAGAGCGUUCUAAGGGCGUUGAAGCAUGAUCGUAAGGACAUGUGGAGCGCUUAGAAGUGAGAAUGCCGGUGUGAGUAGCGAAAGACGGGUGAGAAUCCCGUCCACCGAUUGACUAAGGUUUCCAGAGGAAGGCUCGUCCGCUCUGGGUUAGUCGGGUCCUAAGCUGAGGCCGACAGGCGUAGGCGAUGGAUAACAGGUUGAUAUUCCUGUACCACCUAUAAUCGUUUUAAUCGAUGGGGGGACGCAGUAGGAUAGGCGAAGCGUGCGAUUGGAUUGCACGUCUAAGCAGUAAGGCUGAGUAUUAGGCAAAUCCGGUACUCGUUAAGGCUGAGC